UACGAAGGUGGCAAGCGUUGUCCGGAAUUAUUGGGCGUAAAGAGCUCGUAGGCGGUCUGUCGCGUCUGCUGUGAAAACUCAGGGCUUAACCCUGAGCUUGCAGUGGGUACGGGCAGACUAGAGUGCGGUAGGGGAGACUGGAAUUCCUGGUGUAGCGGUGGAAUGCGCAGAUAUCAGGAGGAACACCGAUGGGCGAAGGCAGGUC
rnacentral:rRNA from 1 species